rnacentral:rRNA from 1 species
AGACGGCCGGUUCCUAAACUAGGAUUAGAUACCCUAUUAUUUUGAGUGUUAAUGUUUUUACCUGAGUAGUAUUAGUUGUGUUCUUGAAACUUAAAGAAUUUGGCGGUAUCCUACUCCGUUCAGAGGAAUCUGUCUCGUUAUCGAUAGUCCGCGUUGGACCUUACUUAGGAUUAAUUUUGGUUUGUAUACCGCCGUUUAUUGAUUAUCUUUUUAGAGUGUUGUGAAUUUUCUGGUUUCUUUAAUUUGAUUUAUUGCAGGUCAAGGUGCAGCUUUUUCUAAGUGUAAUGAUGGAUUACAGUGUUAUGUGUUGUUUGGAUUGUUUGUUUGAAUAUUGGCAUGAAAUUGGAUUUGGUUGUAAUGUUUUGUAGAUUGUUUUCAUGAUAGUUGGUUCUAGGAUAUGUACACAUCGCCCUCGCUUAUGAGUUGGCCCCG